UAGGGAAUCUUCCACAAUGGGCGAAAGCCUGAUGGAGCAACGCCGCGUGUGUGAUGAAGGUUUCGGCUCGUAAAACACUGUUGUAAGAGAAGAAUGACAUUGAGAGUAACUGUUCAAUGUGUGACGGUAUCUUACCAGAAAGGAACGGCUAAAUACGUGCCAG
rnacentral:rRNA from 1 species